AGUAGGAUAGUGUAUCUGUAGGGCAGGUGAUAGGAGGGAAAAGUGGGCUUGUGGAACCCUGCUGGGGCAGCCCUUCUGUAAGGGAUGUAGUCUCUCCUUUCUAGAGACAGAGACUUUGGGUGGCUGGCCCUGCACUGCCCAGGAGAAGCAGGAACUGGAAACCAAGUUGUGGGGUGGUGAGAGAUCUCCCUAUUCUUCUUUCAAGGAGAAGAUGCUUAAUUUGCCAGGUCAGUACAAAUGCUUCUCAGAGAACCUGUAACUUCUCAUAAUUUGAAAUCAUUCACCUUGCAGAGGGAACCCAGGGGACUGCUGGGCCUUAUGUUGACCUUUGCUGAGACUUAUUUUUCUCUUUCUGGAGGUGGGCAUGAUGCUGGUCUUGGGGAAGUCUAGGCCUUCCUUUGGAGAGGAAUGUCUUAUCAAUGAUAAAUGAACACAGUUCACUCUACGUUUUGCAGUCUGGAAUAUCUUCAGCAAUCACUGAAUUUGGGAGUACCACAGAAGUGAUGUUGUGUCCAGUGCAUCACAUCAGGGGACCCAUUAGCCAACAUCAUUCAUAAGAGUGGCCCAAUAUUCUACUAGUUCUUGAAACCAGUUUCCUGUCUUAGUGCAUUUAGGCUGAAUUCUAGAAAUGAAGCCACUGAAUCAAAAGAGGAUGCCAAGAGCCAGAGGACCUCUGAGCAAGAUGAUUUGCAGCUGGGGAACGGACCCUCGGGUGAUUCAUCCGCAGGUGCUCCUUGCGGACAAAGAGCCCGAGCCCACGGCGAUCCUUAGGCACAUAGUCAUUGUCUAAUACUCCCCUCACCUGUCUUGUGCUGGCUCAAUAAAAGGCUACU